GUUUAAUGUAUAGGUGGUGGGUACGAAGGCGCUCAAGAACAAUGCAGACCUGUUUUCUGUGAUUUUCAAGAUUAUCAGAAAAUAUCAGGAUAUCAUCCAAAUAUGCCACAACAAACUGAUCCAGGAGAUCCCGUACUACAUAAUUGAUUAGAUGCUGAAAAGUUGCAGGGGCAUUACAAACCCAAAUGGCAUUACUAGAUAUUCG